UACGGGGGGAGCAAGCGUUGUUCGGAUUUACUGGGCGUAAAGGGCGCGUAGGCGGCGCAACAAGUCACUUGUGAAAUCUCCGGGCUUAACCCGGAGCGGCCAAGUGAUACUGUCGUGCUAGAGUGUGGAAGGGGCAAUCGGAAUUCUUGGUGUAGCGGUGAAAUGCGUAGAUAUCAAGAGGAACACCUGAGGUGAAGACGGGUUGCUGGGCCAACACUGACGCUGAUGCGCGAAAGCCAGGGGAGCAAACGGG
rnacentral:rRNA from 1 species